ACUCAAAUGAAUAGACGGGGGCCCGCACAAGCGGCGGAGCAUGUUGCUUAAUUCGAUGCAACGCGAAGAACCUCACCUAGGUUGAACUACGCGGGAAAAGCCACAGAGAUGUGGUGUCCUUCGGGGUCCGCGAUAGGUGGUGCAUGGCUGUCGUCAGCUCGUGUCGUGAGAUGUUGGGUUAAGUCCCGCAACGAGCGCAACCCUUGUCCUGUGUUGCCAGCAUGUAAUGAUGGGGACUCGCAGGAGACUGCCGGGGUCAACUCGGAGGAAGGUGGGGACGACGUCAAGUCAUCAUGCCCCUUACGUCUAGGGCUGCAAACAUGCUACAAUGGCCGGUACAACGAGCUGCGAAACCGCGAGGUUUAGCGAAUCUCUUAAAGCCGGUCUCAGUUCGGAUCGGAGUCUGCAACUCGACUCCGUGAAGCUGGAGUCGCUAGUAAUCCCGGAUCAGCAUUGCCGGGGUGAAUACGUUCCCGGGCCUUGCACACACCGCCCGU
rnacentral:rRNA from 1 species